AGAACAUUCAUGUCAUAUCUCAGCUUAAUGAAUCGUUGUUGUUUGUAAAGUUGUAAAUCUAACUUUUCUACAUGAGGGCAAUGUAAAUUCUUAAGAAUUACUCCCUUGCAGGUUGCUUUUGCAACUAAAAAGCAACAUAAAAAUUUACUAAAAAGACUCCUAGAAGAGGUUCAAAAUUAUCAUACAAUAAAACAAUUGAAAGGAUGUUAAGUUAUCUAUCCAUUUUUUCUUGCUCAUUAUAAGACUCAAUAAAAAAAAUUAGACAAAAAAUAUUUUACUUUAUCCUUUUCAUUAAUUGUAAAACCCAGGAAAUGUGUCCUGUUUCCACUCUUUUUAACCAUUUACAGCAACUAAAACAAAUGAUACCAUAAAGGAAAAAAGAACCUGCUUCACCAUAAAAAGCUCAAUAAUUCCAUCCCCCUUUAUCCUUCCUACUUAUAUAAAUAAACAAAACAAAACCCCAUCUCCUUGACAUUUCUCACUCGUUGGUUGCCUUUCCCCUAACAGAGCCCCAAUAAUCCACCUAAAUAAACAGAAAAUGAUCAAGAGUUACAACCUUUGGAGGUGUCAAAAGAUGUUGGUGGGUGAUCAAAUAGCAAAAGGGUAAAAGAAGUUCAUAACCCACACAUCAAGAAAUUCAUUAACCACACAUCUACAAAGUAAAUUUAAAAGCAAAUAAUCAAAUAGCUAACCUUAAGAUAGAGAACACCACCGCCCAAACCAUAAUUAUCGUCGACGGUAAAGUCAAGGUGAGCCUUGAUACUAUAAAAGCAAACACCCUUCCAAUCAAUUGAGGCAUUUUUAGAAGUCACAGAUCCCCAGUAGCAAACCCAAAAAGUAUAUUUGUUGGCCUGAACGGAACCUUGAAAGCAUACUCAAAUAAAAAUUCAGACUUUCUGAAUUAAACCAAAAUUAAAAGUAAAAAUGCUACCUUUAUCAAGCCUUUUCAAAGCACAAUAAUAUUUGAUCAUUGAUACCAUAGAAAUCAAAAUGCAAUCACUUUUCCCAAAUAUGAAAGGUAGUAAUAAUUCCUUAAAAUAUCAAAUAAAGCAAAAAAAAUUGAAAUUUUUAGCACACAAUUAAUCACAGUGUGCAUAUAUUCAAAUCAUUCCCAAAAAUUUUAAAUAAAAAACAAAUGCCAAAAUUUUAUAUCCAAAAAAAAUUAUGCUCCAUAGUCACAUAAUGAGAGUCCCCAUUCAAAAGUCAAAGCUUGACCGAAAUUAUGAAUGUAAAGUCAAAGCAAAAUCUUUAAGCUAAACUAUGAGUGUAACAUCAAUAUUAAAAAGUAUUUGCCUGAAUAUAAUAUAUAGCAUGAGAAAUUUAAAGAAUUACUUAAGAGCAUGUGUUGAUUAAAUAGAUAGCCACCAUUUAGCCAAAAAUACAUAAAUAGAUAACCACAAAACAAUACAAUCCAUGCGUUAUUGGAAUGGACUACACAGCAAAAGCUUGCUUGGGCAUUCAAGUCAUCACAUUUUUCUUAUUCAGAUUUUCUAAAAUCCUACAUAAAUUACCACGAUACUGAAAUUUCAAAGUUAACUUUAAUUAUAGUUAAAUUGUAUAUAUCACAUAAUCAUGUUAGACAUAUAUGUCAUGCACUACAUAGCAUUUACUUUAAACUGUACUGAACAAAAUGCCAAAAGGACUCUGAUAUUGGUUAAGUAGACAUCCAAUUAUGUAGAUAAUAAGCCAAAAAGACUAAGAACCAAUUUGUUUAUAAUAAUAUAAAAUAUUAAACUGAAAAAUACUUGGUAAAUGAACAUAAACAUCUUCACGCAUUUCUUCAUGUAUUAUUACAAACUUGGAAGUUUAUUGAAAGAUGAAACUGCGAGUACAAUAGAACAAUCAAUAAAAAAUACGCAGACACAUGCUAGAGGACACAAAUUGAAAAAGCAUCAUAUAUAACUACAAUGUGAAAGAAAGGCUCAAAUUCAUUGCUUAAUAAAGGAGACAUAAGGGUAUGAGCUUACAUAUCCAAGUUUGUAACAUCAGUUAGACCACAUAGUCAACUUCAUCUAGAACAUUCACAGAGAGAAAUAAUGAUGAUAACAAUUACAAUGAUGACUACAAAGAUGAAGACCUCAUGUGCCAUUCAAAUCAUCAUAAGUGAUGAAAUUACUAUUCCAGACAGCAACAUUGAACUCUCUUAACCCUUUAAUUAGAGUCAAAACAAAUUUCUAUUGGUAAGUAAUAUUUUUACCUCAAUCUAAAAAAAUCCACAAACGAAAUUCAAAUUCCAAAUCCCAAUUGAAACUUAAUCGUAAUAAAUUCCUCCUAACAUCAAUUAAAGUUGGAUAAAAGCUCAAACACGCAAAUCACCAGAUAGAAGGAAUUAAAUGGGUAUGGAGUUUGGUUUCAUCCAAAACAAAGUGGAUGAAUUUCUGGUAAGAGCAGCAGGCAGAAACUUCAAUUGAAUCCCUCAAUUUCCUAGCUCGUUGUAAUACCACUAAUUGAAGGUAAUAAUAGAGGCUACAGAAUAGAACAACACAAAGGAGCAAAAAAAUUAACAGAUAAACAAGAAUUUCAACUCUGAAAAAAGGAAAAGCAAGAAUUCAGGUCUUAAGGCUAACAAAAUAUGGCAAGAGUAGAAUCAGAGGAUCCUGAAACAUACGUAUUGAGGCCUCCAAGCUCCACAUUUGACCUUUUUCCAAAUGUUGACCACACUAUAUUUGGUGGGUUUUCACUGCACUGAGGGCCAGACAUGAUAAUAUUAGAGAAUGAGUUUCUGGGUUAUGCAAAGGAGAUGCUAAGAAACUGAGAAUGGUAGACAAUGCACUGACGACAUUAUGCACCAAAAGAAAAGAAAAGAAAUUAAUAAUAGUAAACUAAUGACAUUAAAAUUGUGUUUCAAAUAAAAUUGAAGGGAUAAUGGUCCACCCAUUCAACAGUUUAGCUCCGCCCCUUUAAGCAAGUAAAGGGAAAUGUUUUGCUCGGCACCAACAGUCCAAGGCUUCGUCUACUCUUAUUAUAAGCCUUGCUUUCUAUGCCUCAUUUUCCUUUGAAUAUAAUAGUUGUAUAAAAAUAUGAAUAACAGAUGAAUUUUCGUUACCCCUCCAAAAAAAAGAAGAUGUUUCAUGCCAAAAGAAUAUGUUAAGCUAUAAAAUGUUGCUACUAAGAGGUUCGAGCAAAAGAUUACUUACAAAGACUGAAAAACACUGAAAUAACCUGCAUGUGUCAUAUCCCUUAAAAACCUACAGCUGAAGAUCAAUGAAAUUCCAUAAAAAUACUUCAAAUCCAGCAAAUCAUAAUGCAUUAGGUAAACAACCAUACAAAGUUUACACCCAAUUUUUUUUAGAGAUUUUGCACACAAAUACAAAUGAAGAAAGAAUCAGAAGUAAAGAUUGACAUUGGUUUCAAAUCUUGUCGGUUUAAUCAAUAUGCAACUCAACCUGCUAACAGUUCGGACUUUCGUGCUUUUUGAGUUUUUUCAUGAGCACAAAACUUACAUUUUCAGUAGUCUGAGUUAGAACUUUUAAGGAUAACUAUGGCAUUUUCUUUGUCAAUGUUCAGUUUUUAGCAGCCAUCAACAUUGAUGAGUCUUUGCAACAAAUAAAUAACAACUACAAAAAAAUUCAUAUGAAAUCCAAAAAAUUUAACACACAUAGGUGUCCUCAAACCUCAAUUAAUAUAUCUACCUUCUACUAUGUGUAGUUAAUUUUUGUCGGUCGGUCGUUCGAUGUGAGCUUCUCAAAAAUAAAUAUUUAACAUUUCAUUACUCUGGUAAACCUUAAAAUCACAAUAUAACCUUGAAAAUUUAUUUUAUUAUUCUAUAAAAUUGAAACAAAUGCUUACCUCAAGGUUUAACUUCCCCGCUCUGAUCUUCCUCGUCAUCACCGCCUUCUCUUUUAAUGGAAACUCGACUCCAACUGCAAAUUUCAGGUGAGAGUAUUGCUGCGAUGGGCAAGAAAUCCAAAAUCGGGGAUAAGGUGAGCUCAGAUGGAGAGACGAAGUAAAGAACUUAAACCAAAAAACAAAUGCCCCAACACAGAUUCACAAAUGUACAAACAAACAUUAAAUAUCAAAUCUAAACCACUAAAUAGAAACUUCCCUAAUCUGAAUUGCGAUCAACAGUACAUUUGAACUCGAAAUAAAAAUGAGAUUCAGAUUCACUAACACCAACAGUUAAUUUAUCGAAUCCCAAUCAAUGAACAACAUUAACAAUAACACCAACAUUCCUUCAUUCAAUCCUCAACAACAAAACCCAAAAUGAUUUUCAGUUAUUCUGUUAUUUGGCUAUGAAAGGGAAUUGAAAAAAUAAAUGAAGAAAUUGUAUUUGUUUGUUGUACCUGUGCAGAACGAAAUAGACCCGUACAUCGUUGUUUUGGGUGGGAGAAGUGUCGAAACAAUCUUCGAAAGCGGAAUUGAAAGGAGCGAGAGAAGGGGAACAGGUAUAUGGAAGUGAAAUAGGGGUGAGGGUAGUGAAGAAGAGAAAGAAAGAGAAAGAGAAAAAGAAAAAGAAAGAGGAAGAGGAAGAGGAAGAGAAAUAAUUGGGAAUCUGAAGAGAGAAACGAUUUUGUCGAUAAGGGUUGAUUCCAAUUUAGCUGACCGAGUUAAUUCCUGAUUGAUUUCAAAUUGAGUAAGUUGAUUUUAAUUGAUUAAAAUUGAGUGCGUAAAGAAUAGGCUGUCAUGUCUUUAUAUUGAAGGUAUUGAGGUAUUGAUGUGUGUAAUUUUG
rnacentral:lncRNA from 1 species